UACAGGGGGUCGCAAGCGUUGCUCGGAAUUACUGGGCGUAAAGCGAGCGCAGGCGGCCGAUUAAGUCAGAGGUGAAAGCCCGGGGCUCAACCCCGGAAAGGCCUUUGAAACUGGUAGGCUUGAAUGCAGGAGAGGGUCGCGGAAUUCUUGGUGUAGAGGUGAAAUUCGUAGAUGAUCAGGAAGAACACCAGUGGCGAAAGCGGCGACCUGGCCUGACAAUUGACGCUCAUGCUCGAGAGCGUGGGGAGCAAACAGG
rnacentral:rRNA from 1 species